rnacentral:ncRNA from 10 species
AUCGUUCAUCCAUUUACGGACGGAAGUAAGCAACAGCUGAAGGAACGCGCU